rnacentral:rRNA from 1 species
UACGGAGGGUGCAAGCGUUAUCCGGAUUCACUGGGUUUAAAGGGUGCGUAGGUGGGUUGGCAAGUCAGUGGUGAAAUACUUUCGCUUAACGAAGGAACUGCCAUUGAUACUAUCAAUCUUGAAUGUAGUGGAGGUAGGCGGAAUGCGUCAUGUAGCGGUGAAAUGCUUAGAUAUGACGCAGAACACCAAUUGCGAAGGCAGCUUGCUACACUACUAUUGACACUGAGGCACGAAAGCGUGGGGAUCAAACAGG